rnacentral:lncRNA from 10 species
UAGCAAAUGGUUGCGUCAAAAAUAGAGGGUAUUAAGUACCUACUAGAGAUGGAUUGGAUGAGGGAAAAGCAUUUUAUGUAUUGUUCAUAUUGAAAUCAUCCUUCAAAUAAUGUGUCUUAUAGAAACCCAUAGUGACACAAUUGCCUGGGACAGCAAUCCCCAACAUGUUGAAAUUUCCUUUAGAUGGUGUGCUUCUAUUUACUUCUAUUGCUUUUAGUCUUCCAGUUUCUGAAGUAGUUAUUAUAGAAAUCACAGGCCUCAUUAAAAAGAUAUGAUCGUCAUUAAUAUGCCAGCAAGUCAAGAUAAAGCAAUUAAAAACAUCCAUCAAAACAUGGAAAUGCAUUUUCCAUUUGAAGCACCAAAAUAUACAUUCAAAUAAAAAAUACCUUUUUAAAUAAUACAUGCCUAUUUUACUAUUAUAAAACUAUUUUUGUUGGUAAAGAUGAUAGUCAUAGAAUUAGAUUUUUAAGAAGUUGGACUGGGCCAGGUGCAGUGGCUCAUGCCUAUAAUCCCAGCACUUUGGGAGGCCGAGGCAGGCAGAUCACCUAAAGUCAGGAGUUCGAGACCAGCCUGGCCAACAUGUUGAAACCCCAUCUCUACAAACAUACAAAAAUUAGCUGGGCAUGGUGGUAGGCAUCUGUAAUCCCAGCUACUUGAGAGGCUGAGGCAGGAGAAUUGUUUGAACCUGGGAGACGGAGGUUGCAGUGAGCUGAGAUCACGCCACUUCACUCCAGCCUAGGUGACAGAGCGAGACUCUGUCUCAAAAAAAAAAAAAAAAAAAAAAAAGGAAGAAAAAAAAAUUGUACUAAGGGAUUGGGGAAGAACAAAGACAUGCUUAAACUAUUAAAUUGCAAAAAGAAAGAAUAAAAUACCUUGA